rnacentral:lncRNA from 1 species
CGAUAGACAAACCUAGCGGACCAUAUUUCUUUCUUGCCCAUGUGGGCCUAAACCUCAAACAGUUUUCAAUUUCCUUUUCUUCCUUCCUCCUUUUCCACAUCGAGUUUUACUAGGCAGUGCAUACAAAUACCAUUACAAAUACUUUGACUUCAAAGUCCAAUCCAAAUUCCAAAUUUCAUCAUCAAUUCCACAGAAAUCAAAACCCCAGACUUCAGAAACAAAUAACAGAGCAUCGCUAGUGCCUAAUACCUUAAUUCUUGGGUUUGGGGUUGGUCAGACAGCAGGUUCGUGGGUCGUGUUGCAGCAGCGGUGUGGCGGGUCAAGGUGCAGAUCAAGAGCACAUGCAGUGGUCCAAGGAGGAGACGAACUCGAUCCGAGUUUGCGGUUCUCGGGUCUGGGCUUCGUAAAACCAGUGGUGGGUAUGAGAUUGCUAGGAAUGCAGGUCAGACGCUGGAGUACAGGACAAUAAUGAACAACGAACAAUGAACAACCACAAUUUUUUUUUUUUUACUUCAACCAAUUUAUCUAAAUUAGAAUAAUCAUACAACAGAAGACGACAACAAACUGACACGGGACAUGCAAGAGCAUAUUAAAUCCCGAAUGAUCAAACCUGCUCUGAUACUAAGUUGAAUAUCAGAAUAUGCAAAGAACAAACGAACUAACUGAAUAUAAAACUUUAUUAAAUGAAAUUGCCAAGAAGGCUACAUGAACCAAAGAUGCUACUUCUUACUAACUUACCUCUCAAACUAAAUUACAAGCAAUAUUUAUAGAGAACUAAAUCUAAGAAACUCUAACUCGGAUGUGUUAUGCCCAGUUCCUAAACUAACAAGCACAACCCAAAUAUUAAAAUACAAUGAAGCUGGCCCAGAAUUUGAGACAAAGAGAGUCAGAAAUAUGAUCUCUGAAGCCGGAAUGAAGAAGAAACCUAUUCCAGUGUUCCAGUGUGAUAGAGGUAAAUGGCGUGGCCGAAGAAUUCCUUUUUUGUGAUCUGUGUCAUCCACAAGCAGAAGAAAUGGUUAAUACGCUCAACUCCUUCUGUAAAUUGUUCGAUUCUCCAACCUAAUUCAGAGAAAUUAAUAUAACACUUAUCAUUAUGUAAACUGGAUAAGACAUUACAGUACACCUUCAGCUUUUGAACUAGAUGAAUAUUGUAAAUUGGUAAAAUAUAUAUGAUUGUAAGUAUUAACAUGAACAUAUGCAAAAAAUCAGAGAAAGAUAUGGAAAUGAGGGGUGAAGUUUAAACUUCACCUUAUAUCGGAGAAACUCUUAAGUUUAGGCUAAAAUCGGCAGAUAUUGUCGAUAUUUCUGACACAUAAGUUAAAUAUCGAAGAAACUGUUAUAUUUCGUCAGAACCAAUGUUUGUCAAUCCCCAUAGUUUUAUUCUAAAUAUUCAUCAUUUCUAUCAAAAGCAACCGAUAUUGACACCCAUAUUCGAUAUAUCCAUCAAUAUUUCUACAAAUUUACAUGUCGACAUGUACACCGAUACCGAUAUUUUAAAUACAGUUUCAACUUGUAUUUUGUUUUGGAGAAUAUCCAUAUAUUGUAGUUAGCGAUAGAGUGUCAGCCAUUUGUGUGGUUCGUACAACGUUUUGAUCCAAUUUUGUAAUGAGCUUGGACUCUCUUCUUUAACUUCUUCUAUCUCAUAUUUCCCUCACUCUUUCUAUAUUUGUAUAUCCAGUGAGCUUUGCCUGCACAAAGAGGCAGCUGAAAAUGGAGGUCACCAACAGGUACAUUACGAUAAAAUCCCCCCUCGACGACGGAGAACCGAAAGAGUCAGACUUUGAGGUCAAAACUUCACCCCUUGCUCUAUCAGUUUCCCCUGGUUCAAGCGAUGUCAUCGUGAAAAAUUUCUAUGUGUCGAUCGAUCCGUACCAGCUCAACCGCAUGAAAAGUUUCAGCUCCUCCCACAAAGCCAUAAGCUAUGCAGCUGCCAUCGCCCCAGGAGAUGUAAGCCUUGAAGCUUAUUUGUUACAAAAGUCGUAAAGCAAACUGUUCUUACCACUCGAAAACAGAGAUCCUGUGCCUCUUAUUUUAUUUAUAAAGUGCAUAAUGACGUUUUUAAGUGUAAAUAACAGCUCCCGUCUCAACAUAAUUGAGCUUUUUAUAAUUAUAUUUAAUACUUUAUUAUGAUGGCAGGAAAUUGAUGCUUACGGUGUGGCAAAAGUUGUGGCUUCUGGGAAUCCAGAGUUUGAGAAGGAUGACUUGGUUGUGGGGCUCAUCAGUUGGGGAGAGUACACUGUUCUAAAAGAAGGGACCAUGAUGUUUAGGAAAUUUGACCCUUUGGGAUUUCCACUUUCUUAUCAAGUUGGAAUUCUAGGUAAUUUUACUUCAUCGUCACGACGACUGAUUCUCUGUUUAUCUCUUCUUACCCUUAAAAACAGAGGCACCCAGUGUCCUUGAAUCACGUAAUUCAUUGACAAUUGGAUUGAUUUGGUUAUUUUGUAUGUUACAGGUUUUAGUGGACUUACAGCAUAUGGGGGAUUUUUUGAAGUGUGCAAGCCUAAAAAGGGGGAGAGAGUUUUCGUAUCUGCAGCUUCUGGAUCGGUUGGAAAUUUGGUCGGACAGUAUGCAAAACUCUUCGGUUGCUAUGUUGUUGGCUGUGCCGGAAGCAAAGAAAAGGUGACCUUACAAAACUUUUCUUUUAGUGCGCUAUGUUCAAACGGAAUCUGUUCAUGAAAAUUGAUCUGAAUGAUCUGUUUAUAGGUGGCAUUGCUCAAGGCAAAGCUCGGAUUUGAUGAUGCCUUCAACUACAAGGAAGAGCCCGAUUUUAAAGUCGACUCUCAAAAAAGUAAACCUCUCUUUGAUCCUAUCGUUUUGAAGCGAAAUACGGGUUAAUACUAAAUUGUGUUUGAUCUUCAGGUACUUCCCGGAUGGGAUUGAUAUAUAUUUUGACAAUGUGGGAUCUGAGAUGCUGGAAGCAGCAGUUGAGAACAUGAACACCUUCGGUAGGGUUGCUGUCUGCGGCGUGAUUUCUGAGUACAUAGAUGCCAGAAAGCGAGCUGCGCCAAAUAUGCUAGACGUUGUUUACAAGAGAAUUAAGAUCCAAGGGUUUUUAGCAGCUGAUCUCAUGAAUGUGUACUCUGAUUUUAUCUCCACCACCGUUGAUCAUCUUCGCACGGGCAAUUUGCACGUGGUUGAAGACAUCUCGAGUGGUUUGGAGAGUUUUCCAUCUGCUUUCAUUGGACUUUUUCGCGGUCAUAACACCGGAAAGAAAAUGGUUAAGCUUGCAGAUGAGUGAACAUAUGAUAUGAAAUCUCUCAUUGUUGUUUGGUUUUACCUGCACUACUUUUAUCUGCAGUUCCAAAAAGUAAAUUCACAAAUAGAACAAGCAGAGCAAAGUCCACAUAAGCUCCAAUUUUGAAUUGCAUUUGGCUUCAAAUUGAUGGAAUAAAAACAUGUGUUAUUUUGGUUCUGGUCCCUUAUCAAUCAAGUUGUUAGACUGAAAUCUUGUUUAUUUAAAUAUUUUGAUCGAGGUCCUUAGUAUCAAAUAAGAGAUUUUAAUUCAUGCAAUUAUGCCCUUAAUGUCCCACAAAUUAUGAAAUUUAAACAAAUUCAAAUUAUAUUUUUAAAAUAUAAUAAAUGCUUAAAAAUUAAUAUUAGAGUAAUAUUGUUCUUCACAAAAUUAUAGCAAGAAAAUAAUGUACCCACGUAAUAUUAACAUAUUUAAAAAAAAAUAACUACUCAUCAUAAAGUAAAUACAUAUAAUUAGCAUAGGUACAUUUAGUAAAAUAAAAAAUAGGGACAAAUAAAUUAAAAAAAUAUGGGCACAAAUAAAUUAAUAUAUGGGUACAAAUUAAAACGGAAAUAAAAUUGCUACAAGUUCAAAAAUGGUUGCAAAUUAAAAAUGGGUACAAAUUAAAAAUGAAAAUAUAUGACAAAAAAUGUAGCCAUAAAUAUAAAUAUACCAAAUGUAACAUUUCUAACACUAAAUGAAUAUAUUUAGAAAUAAAAAAAAAAAUUAUUAUUAAAAUAAUUAAUGACAUUUCUUAAAACUGAGGACCUUGAUAAAAAAUUGAAAAUGAAUAAAGUUUUAAUCAAUGAAGUAGCAAAAAGAAGGAUGACAAUCUAAUUUCUCCUAAAACCAUAUAAAUAUAAUCUUGAUUAGGACUUCUGAACUGUAAGUGGAAGUUAUUAAGUAAUUAGCAGGUGAUUAAGUAGUUGCAAAUUGCUUGGUCCAAGCUCCAAAAUCCAAAGCAAGGAAAAGACAAUGUGCCACAUCCAACCAUUGUUUUUCAGCGGCAGACGUUGAUUAAGCCGGUUGACUAAGAUAACAUAUAUGUUCCUUUCCAAUCAAGUUCAAUUUUUCUCUUCACGGAUAUGAGUAGGUCAUUAAGACAAAAAGUCAUUGUUCUUGAGGCAAACAAAUCAAGUUCGAAAAAGUAAUAGGUUUUGAAGAUACUUGUUAUUUUUUUUAGAAGGGUUAAAAGUGCAUUUUGACAAUAAAAAAUGUUUCAGACUAUGUUUAACAGAAAAAACUUAAAAAACACUUAUAGAUUACCGAAUUGAGCAAACGCUAUAUAAUUUUGAAAAAAACACUUCCAAGUGUUUUUCUAAAAGCACUUUCAAGUAUUUUUUCACAAAACACAACUUUUUAUAAAACUUACGUGUUCACAAUAAAAAUACUUUGAAAUAACUUUGACUUUACAAAGUCAUCAAAUCCGACGGCCGUGAUCAGUUUGAUCAAGUAACACCGCCCGUAUGUCCAAUGUCCAUUUGGGGACUACCCAAAGGUUACCCGCCAAUUCAGAUGUUUCAUAAAACCGUUAGAAGCAACGACCUUGUUUCCCCUCCCACAAAAAUUCAAAACCCUAAACCAGCUCAAGCAAAUCCACGCUCACAUCCUCGCAUGCCGUCUACCCGAAAACCCAUACACCAUUGCGCCGCUCCUAUCCGCCGCAGCAACCUCCAAAGAUGCUUCUUUUACUACGCUUGCUCAAUUUUCGAGCACCACCAUCACCACGCAACAUCUUCAUAUACAACACCAUGAUCAGAGGAUACGUUCAGUCGCAUUUGCCGAUUCCCGCCAUUUCGUGCUGUUUGGACAUGUUGAAUUAUGAGUUUGUUCCGAAUAACUACACUUUUUCCCCCGUUGAUCAAAGCGUGCACGAUUCUCGGCCCAAAUUUGAAGCUCAGUGGUCGAUUAGUUCAUGGUCAUGUAGAUCAAUUCGGGUAUGGUGACGACUCUUGUUCUUUAGCUCGCUGGUCGAGUUUUAUGCCGUAAUCCAUGGCUUAUAAAUUGCAAAGGUGGUGUUUGAUAAAAGUCCUAAAAGGGAUGUGGUGGUGUGGACGCCAAUGAUUGACGGGUUACGGGUAUGGGAAGACAGGGGAUGUUGAGAAUGCCCAGCGUUGUUUGACGAAAUGCCUGAGAGAAACACCAUAUCGUGGAGUGCGAUGAUGGCUGCAUAUUCUCGGGUGAGCGAGUUCAAAGAGGUGCUUUCUUAGGCAAAUGCAAGAAGCGGGCACAAAGCCUAUUGAGUCGGCUAUUGUUAUUGUUCUGACUACCUCUGCUCAUAUCUCGGUGCGGUCACAUAAGGACUGUGGGUACACUGCUAUGCUAAAGGUGCAAUCUUGAUUUUAACACGAGAUUGGCCACUGCUCUCGUUGAUAUGUACACGUAAUGCGGAUAUGUGGAAGCAGCUUUACGGGGUUUUUAGGGCACUCCUAAUAAGGAUGUUGGAGUGUUGAACGGUAUGAUCGCUGGAGUUGCAAUGAUUGGGGAUGGAAGGAAAUCACUUGAACUCUUAAAUAAAAUGGUUAGAGAUAGAGUACAACCCACAGAGACCACAUUUUGUCGCCGUUCUUUCGGCUUGCACGCAUGCAAAGAUGGUUGACAAGGGCCUUGAAAAUUGUUUGAUCAAAUGGAAAUCUUUAUGGGGCUAAAACUCGAGCUUGAGCACAACACGUGCAUUGUGGACCUUUUGGCUAGAGCGGGCAUGGUGGAGGAAGUUGAGAAGUUUAUAGAGGACAAGAUGGGAGGACUAGGAAGAGGGGACGCAAAUGCGUGGGGAGCACUACUGGCUGCUGGUAGAGUUCAUGGGAAUGUUGAAGUUGGGGACCGGACUUGGAAAAAGCUCGCUGGUACGGGAGUAGCCGAGUGGCAUUCAUGUUCUUUCAUAUAAUAUGAGUUGAAUAUCAGAGUACGCAAAGAACAAACGAACUAACUAAAUAUAAAACUUUAUUAAACGAAAUUGCCAAGAAGACUACAUGAACCAAAGAUGCUACAUCUUACUAACUUACCUCUCAAACUAAAUUACAAGCAAUAUUUAUAGAGAACUAAACCUAAGAAACCCUAACUCAGAUAUGUUAGGCCUAAUUCCUAAACUAACAAGCAAAACCCAAAUAUUAAAAUGAACAUAAAUACUAAUAUUUUCCAACACCCCCAUCAAACUCAUGACGGUACACGACAUGAGUUUGCCAACAAACGAUGUGGAUGCAAGCUCUGUUAUGCUAACUUCCGAUGCCAAUUCCAAUACGAAAUUCCAUCGGUGCAAGUGCAAGAUUCCAAAUGCCAAUGCCAGUGCCAAUGCAAGAUUCCCAUGCCAGUGCCAAUGCAAGAUUCCAAUGCCAUUGUCAGUGCAAGAUUUCCAUGCUAGUUUCAGUGCAAGAUUUUCAUGUCAGUGCCAGUGUUAGUGCAAGACCAAUACCAAUGCUAGUGCAAACCUUCUCAUUUCCUAUUGUGAUCUUCCGAACAAAAGAAAAAUCCAACUCACCAUAUACACAACGUCACUCGAAUGGUCACCAGUCCAAGCAUUCGAGUGAUCGUCGUGGUGGGAACGACAGACAAACCAAGCACACCAUAUUUCUUUCUUGCCCGUGUGGGCCUAAACCUCAAACAGUUUUCAAUUUCCUUUCUUCCUUCCUCCUUUUCCACGUCCAGUUUUACUAGGCAGUGCAUACAAAUACCAUUACAGAUACUUUGACUUCAAAGUCCAAUCCAAAUUCCAAAUUUCAUCAUCAAUUCCACAGAAAUCAAAACCUUAGACUUCAGAAACAAAUAACAGAGCAUCGCAAGUGCCUAAUACCUCAAUUCUUGGGUUUGGGGUUGGUCAGACAGCAGGUUCGUGGGUCGUGUUGCAGCAGCGGUGUGG